rnacentral:rRNA from 1 species
UACGGGGGGAGCAAGCGUUGUUCGGAUUUACUGGGCGUAAAGGGCGCGUAGGCGGUCAGCACAAGUCGGUUGUGAAAUCUCCGAGCUUAACUCGGAAAGGUCAACCGAAACUGUGCGACUAGAGUGCAGAAGGGGCAACUGGAAUUCUUGGUGUAGCGGUGAAAUGCGUAGAUAUCAAGAGGAACACCUGCGGCGAAGGCGGGUUGCUGGGCUGACACUGACGCUGAAGCGCGAAAGCGUGGGGAGCAAACAGG